AGAAUCAACGCUGGCGGCGUGCCUAACACAUGCAAGUCGAACGAGAAAGUGGGAGCAAUCCCACGAGUAAAGUGGCGCACGGGUGAGUAACACGUGACUAACCUACCCUUGAGUGGGGGGAUAACCUAGGGAAACCUGGGCUAAUACCGCAUAAUACCUACGGGUCAAAGGAGCAAUUCGCUUAAGGAGGGGGUCGCGGCAGAUUAGUUAGUUGGCGGGGUAAUGGCCCACCAAGACAGUGAUCUGUAUCCGGCCUGAGAGGGCGCACGGACACACUGGAACUGAAACACGGUCCAGACUCCUACGGGAGGCAGCAGUGGGGAAUUUUGCGCAAUGGGGGAAACCCUGACGCAGCAACGCCGCGUGGAGGAUGAAGCCCCUUGGGGCGUAAACUCCUUUCGAUCGGGAAGAUAAUGACGGUACCGGAAGAAGAAGCCCCGGCUAACUUCGCGCCAGCAGCCGC
rnacentral:rRNA from 1 species